rnacentral:other from 1 species
GUUCACUGCCGUAUAGGCAGCAAAAAAU